rnacentral:rRNA from 1 species
UACGGGGGGGGCAAGCGUUGUUCGGAAUUACUGGGCGUAAAGGGCUUGUAGGUGGCCAACUAAGUCAGACGUGAAAUCCCGCGGCUUAACCGGGGAACUGCGUCUGAUACUGGAUGGCUCGAGUUUGGGAGAGGGAUGCGGAAUUCCAGGUGUAGCGGUGAAAUGCGUAGAUAUCUGGAGGAACACCGGUGGCGAAGGCGGCAUCCUGGACCAACACUGACACUGAAAAGCGAAAGCCAGGGGAGCAAACGGG